rnacentral:rRNA from 1 species
UACGUAGGGUGCAAGCGUUGUCCGGAAUUAUUGGGCGUAAAGAGCUCGUAGGCGGUUUGUCGCGUCUGCUGUGAAAACUCAGGGCUUAACUCUGAGCUUGCAGUGGGUACGGGCAGACUAGAGUGCGGUAGGGGAGACUGGAAUUCCUGGUGUAGCGGUGAAAUGCGCAGAUAUCAGGAGGAACACCGGUGGCGAAGGCGGGUCUCUGGGCCGUAACUGACGCUGAGGAGCGAAAGCAUGGGGAGCGAGCAGG